rnacentral:tRNA from 1 species
GCCCUCGUAGCUCAGGGGAUAGAGCACCGAUCUCCUAAAUCGGGUGUCGCAGGUUCGAGUCCUGCCGGGGGCA